UCAUCGAAAGACAAUGAGAUGCUCAUAGAAAAACUUUGAAGUAAAAUUUUUGAUAUGGCGCUGCUUAAACUUUGUUCUGUUAUCACUAUUCUUCUCAUGGUUACCACUAUUAAUAUGCCAAGCUUCUCAAAGACACAAGUUGUAGCUGCACCAGAUGUUGAUCAUAAUCUCUCGGGACUCAAGAAAAGACUACUUCCACAACUUGCUACUUGUUAUAGAAGUUGUACCUCCGACGAUGAUUGCCUUACCGAUUGCUGGAUUUGUUGUACUUGCAGUAUCUAUGUUAUAACUAACGAUUUAAGGUGUCGGGGAGUAUAAAAAAGGUGGAUGUCUUUGUGUAUUAUGACAACAAAUUAAAGGUUGCUAAAACCCUAUUAUGCAUAAGUUAAUUCCUCGUGAUUUCAGUAUUUCAGAUGUACUACCUCGUUCCCUUGUUUUUCAUGCUUCGCACGAAUAAUGAAGAAACUCAUAUCAAUGGUUUUCUAUUCAAAAAUAAAAAUGGAUUCAUUCCAAAGA